rnacentral:sRNA from 1 species
AGGAUCAUUAACGCGCAGGCCGCAGACGACCCUCCCCCGGGCUCUUCCGGGGGAGGUGGCGCCGGCCACACGCCCAUUCUUGUCUAUCUACCUGGUUGCCUCGGCGGACCGCGCCCCUCGUGCCGCGUCUCGAGGAGCCGUUCGGGGGGGAGGAACCCCCUGGACCGCGUCCGCCGGAGGAGCGAUUAAAACCCAUGAAUACGGUUCAGUCUGAGCGUUAGCAAGUAAAAUCAGUUAAAACUUUCAACAACGGAUCUCUUGGUUCCGGCAUCGAUGAAGAACGCAGCGAAAUGCGAUAAGUAAUGUGAAUUGCAGAAUUCCGUGAAUCAUCGAAUCUUUGAACGCACAUUGCGCCCUCUGGUAUUCCGGGGGGUAUGCCUGUUCGAGCGUCAUUUCAACCCCUCAAGCCCGGCUUGCGUGAUGGACGACCGUCCCGACCCUCCCCGCCUCGGGGAGGGGGGACGCGCCCGAAAAGCAGUGGCCAGGCCGCGAUUCCGGCUCCUGGGCGAAUGGGCAACAAACCAGCGCCUCUAGGACCCGGCCGGCUCUCUGGCCUAGUUUUGGUCAAGGACUCGCUCCUUCACAAUCAGGUUGACCUCGGAUCAGGUAGGGAUACCCGCUGAACUUAAGCAUAUCAAUAAGCGGAGGAAAAGAAACCAACAGGGAUUGCCCCAGUAACGGCGAGUGAAGCGGCAAGAGCUCAAAUUUGAAAUCUGGCCUCCUUCGGGGGUCCGAGUUGUAAUUUGUAGAGGAUGCUUCGGGUGUGGCCGCCGUCUAAGUUCCUUGGAACAGGACGUCAGAGAGGGUGAGAAUCCCGUCUUGGGCGGCCGGUCCGCGCCCGUGUGAAGCUCCUUCGACGAGUCGAGUUGUUUGGGAAUGCAGCUCUAAGCGGGUGGUAAAUUUCAUCUAAAGCUAAAUACUGGUCGGAGACCGAUAGCGCACAAGUAGAGUGAUCGAAAGGUUAAAAGCACCUUGAAAAGGGAGUUAAACAGCACGUGAAAUUGUUGAAAGGGAAGCGCUUGCGGCCAGACUCGGGGGCGGGGUUCAGCGGGCGCUCGUCGCCCGUGUACUCCCCGUCUCCCGGGCCAGCAUCAGUUUCGACGGCCGGUCAAAGGCCCCCGGAAUGUGUCGUCUCUCGGGACGUCUUAUAGCCGGGGGUGCAAUGCGGCCCGUCGGGACUGAGGAACGCG